rnacentral:rRNA from 1 species
UACAGAGGUCCCAAGCGUUGUUCGGAUUCACUGGGCGUAAAGGGUGCGUAGGUGGCCUUCUAAGUUGAACGUGAAAUCCCUGGGCUCAACCCAGGAACUGCGUCCAAGACUGGGAGGCUUGAAUCCGGGAGAGGGAUGCGGAAUUCCAGGUGUAGCGGUGAAAUGCGUAGAUAUCUGGAGGAACACCGGUGGCGAAGGCGGCAUCCUGGACCGGUAUUGACACUGAGGCGCGAAAGCCAGGGGAGCAAACGGG